GCAUAUCAAUAAGCGGAGGAAAGAAACCAACAGGGAUUGCCCUAGUAACGGCGAGUGAAGCGGCAACAGCUCAAAUUUGAAAUCUGGCUCUUUCAGAGUCCGAGUUGUAAUUUGCAGAGGGCGCUUUGGCUUUGGCAGCGGUCCAAGUUCCUUGGAACAGGACGUCACAGAGGGUGAGAAUCCCGUACGUGGUCGCUAGCUAUUGCCGUGUAAAGCCCCUUCGACGAGUCGAGUUGUUUGGGAAUGCAGCUCUAAAUGGGAGGUAAAUUUCUUCUAAAGCUAAAUAUUGGCCAGAGACCGAUAGCGCACAAGUAGAGUGAUCGAAAGAUGAAAAGCACUUUGGAAAGAGAGUCAAACAGCACGUGAAAUUGUUGAAAGGGAAGCGCUUGCAGCCAGACUUGCUUGCAGUUGCUCAUCCGGGCUUUUGCCCGGUGCACUCUUCUGCAGGCAGGCCAGCAUCAGUUUGGGCGGUGGGAUAAAGGUCUCUGACACGUUCCUUCCUUCGGGUUGGCCAUAUAGGGGAGACGUCAUACCACCAGCCUGGACUGAGGUCCGCGCAUCUGCUAGGAUGCUGGCGUAAUGGCUGUAAGCGGCCCGUCUUGAAACACGGACCAAGGAGUCUAACAUCUAUGCGAGUGUUUGGGUGUCAAGCCCGAGCGCGUAAUGAAAGUGAACGGAGGUGGGAACCCGCAAGGGUGCACCAUCGACCGAUCCUGAAGUUUUCGGAAGGAUUUGAGUAAGAGCAUGGCUGUUGGGACCCGAAAGAUGGUGAACUAUGCUUGAAUAGGGUGAAGCCAGAGGAAACUCUGGUGGAGGCUCGCAGCGGUUCUGACGUGCAAAUCGAUCGUCAAACUUGGGCAUAGGGGCGAAAGACUAAUCGAACUAUCUAGUAGCUGGUUCUGCGAU
rnacentral:rRNA from 1 species